AUUGAACGCUGGCGGCAGGCUUAACACAUGCAAGUCGAGCGGGGGAGGUUGCUUCGGUAACUGACCUAGCGGCGGACGGGUGAGUAAUGCUUAGGAAUCUGCCUAUUAGUGGGGGACAACAUCUCGAAAGGGAUGCUAAUACCGCAUACGUCCUACGGGAGAAAGCAGGGGACCUUCGGGCCUUGCGCUCAUAGAUGAGCCUAGGUCGGAUUAGCUAGAUGGUGGGGUAAAGGCCUACCAAGGCGACGAUCUGUAGCGGGUCUGAGAGGAUGAUCCGCCACACUGGGACUGAGACACGGCCCAGACUCCUACGGGAGGCAGCAGUGGGGAAUAUUGGACAAUGGGGGGAACCCUGAUCCAGCCAUGCCGCGUGUGUGAAGAAGGCCUUUUGGUUGUAAAGCACUUUAAGCGAGGAGGAGGCUACUGGUAUUAAUACUACCGGAUAGUGGACGUUACUCGCAGAAUAAGCACCGGCUAACUCUGUGCCAGCCGCCGCCGUAAAAC
rnacentral:rRNA from 1 species